AAUCUAAUUUUGAACGAAUUAAAUUAAUAUAAAUUAAGCCAAUAAAUGAAAGUAUCAAUAAUCAACUCAAACUUGAACGGAUUGAGCCGAGUUGAGCUUGAUUUUGCAACCUCAGGUGAAAGUGGGAACACAAGUUUGACUUUCUCCUAAUAAUUCUCUCCAACUGAAAAAAGCAGGGCCUAGUGCCUGAAAACUGUUAUUGGCUUAAGGUUUAGGGUUUAAAAUCUUCAUUUCCGCUCCUCCUCCUGUGAAUUUUUGAAGUUCUCUUUUUUGCUCAUCCUCAUCAUGGCUCAUACCAGACAACCUUUAGAUUUUGAACAAAUAUUGAAGGAAGCCUACCACUGCUAGCUUCGGCCCCCUGAAAUUUGUGAUAUCUUUCGCAAUCAUCAAAACUUCUACUCUACUCAACGGCCUCCACUCAAACCUCCAGGUUCAGAAAUUAAUUGUUUCACUUAAACUAGUGCUUUGGGCAUUUCACUCCCUAAUAUACCUUUUGUGCUGAAUUCUGGAGGCUCCUUGUUUCUAUAUGAUCGAAAAUUAGUACCACAUUUCCGUAAAAAUGGUCACAACUGUAGAAAGAAAAAGGAUGGUAAAACUGUGGACGAUGUUAAUCGAAAAGUUGAAGGAAGACGACAUUGAUGUUCUUCAUUGUUACUAUGCCCAUAGGAAGGACAACAAGAACUUUCAAGAGGCGAAGUUAUUGGAUGCUUGAAGAGUGAAUCUCUGUUUUUGGUAUCCUUUUAGCUUGUUCUGUGUUGUUGCUUUGAGGUGAAGACGCGCGUGCUAGGGGAAAAUUAUAUAAAUAGAUUAUGUAAUUUGAUGAAUACUUAUCAAUUUAGUCAGUUUCACAUAUAAUUUUAUUUUCUUGUACCUGGUUUGAUGUUUAUCAGCUAUUUGGAUGUUCCUUACCGUUCAUUUAUCAUCAAUCUUCCAAACUUUAAUUAGAUUUUGUCUUGUAUAUCAAAAGCUAAAAGAAUGAGAGUGUGUACUAUUAUUCUUCAAGGAUUUCUCAAA